GUUUCUAUAGUGUAGGGGUUAUUACUUUUGUCUAACAAUCAAAAGGUCCCUAGUUUGAAACUGGGUGAAAACA